rnacentral:rRNA from 1 species
GACGAACGCUGGCGGCGUGCUUAACACAUGCAAGUCGAACGGAAAGGCCCUGCUUUUGUGGGGUGCUCGAGUGGCGAACGGGUGAGUAACACGUGAGUAACCUGCCCUUGACUUUGGGAUAACUUCAGGAAACUGGGGCUAAUACCGGAUAGGAGCUCCUGCUGCAUGGUGGGGGUUGGAAAGUUUCGGCGGUUGGGGAUGGACUCGCGGCUUAUCAGCUUGUUGGUGGGGUAGUGGCUUACCAAGGCUUUGACGGGUAGCCGGCCUGAGAGGGUGACCGGCCACAUUGGGACUGAGGGACGGCCCAGACUCGUACUGGAGGCAGCAGGGGGGAGUAUUGCGCAAUGGGCGGAAGCCUGAUGCAGCAACGCCGCGUGCGGGAUGACGGCCUUCGGGUUGUGAACCGCUUUCGCCUGUGACGAAGCGUGAGUGACGGUAAUGGGUAAAGAAGCACCGGCUAACUACGUG